UUCUUGCAUGGCGAUAAAAUAGGAGAAUAUGCACUGUGGGCAUUAAAAAGGAACAUUUCCAUACGAAGGAACUUCAUUAUUACAUAGCCAAAUCAAAUGAAAAUCAUUAUACAUAAGUAAAGUCGACAAGAGAAACUGACUCACUUGAACAAGCUUGUCAUCAUAAUACAAAAGAUAUUACUUUAACAAAGAAACAAAAAAAAUGGGAUGGAACCACAACAAUUUAAAUAAACAAAACAUUUAUAGACACCAUAACAACAGCGACACCUAUAGACGGAAGGGUGCACACUCACGGGGUCCCGGCUUUCUCGUUGAGGGCAUUGGCACGUUCUAAGUACGUUUGAGCUUCAUUCUUGAGGAGGACGGCCUUUUUCGGGCGGGGCAGCAGCAGCCUCCUUCAGUUUAUCGGCAGCCCACUUAACAUAUCCUACGGCUCCGGAUUGAUAGUUGCAAAAAUGAAUGCACUUUGGGCUGCAAACCUCNN
rnacentral:lncRNA from 1 species